rnacentral:rRNA from 1 species
AUUGAACGCUGGCGGCAGGCCUAACACAUGCAAGUCGAACGAGUGGCGAACGGGUGAGUAAUGUCUGAGAAACUGCCCGAUGGAGGGGGAUCACUACUGGAAACGGUAGCUAAUACCGCCUACCAUCGGAUGUGCCCAGAUGGGAUGAGCUAUUGGGUGGGGUAACGGCUCACCAAGGCGACGAUCCCUAGCUGGUCUGAGAGGAUGACCAGCCACACGGGAACUGAGACACGGUCCAGACUCCUACGGGAGGCAGCAGUGGGGAAUAUUGCACAAUGGGCGCAAGCCUGAUGCAGCCAUGCCGCGUGUAUGAAGAAGGCCUUCGGGUUGUAAAGUACUUUCAGCGAGGAGGCGUUACCCGCAGAAGAAGCACCGGCUAACUCCGUGCCAGCAGCCGCGGUAAUAC